rnacentral:misc_RNA from 1 species
UACAAUCCGACGCUAAAACACGAAGACAUAGACCUUCCCUCGUACGGGCCGGCGCGUUGCUCGCACCCGCUUCGUGCCUCGCCGCAUCUUUAGCCGCGGCCCACUCGUUGUCGACCAUGCUACCCAAACUCAACUUGGAUGGCACGCUCAGCACGCGCGCCUCCAGUGUGCAGGAGCGGAUGAGAGAGGAGGGGCAGCCUGGGAUGUACUCCCCCCGUAUGGCAUCCAGCCAAGCGCCGAAAGGACUCGGAGGCCCUUCCCACGCAGGUGGCGCAUCCUCGACCCGCUUAUCUUCCUCAGCGCCUUCUGCCCUAGGCCACACCAGGUCGCUGUCGCCGCCGCACCUGUCCUCGCACGAAAUAUCACUCCUGGAGGAAGGGGUAAUGGGCAUCUCGGACCCGGAAAUGGCAGCCAUCCUCGCCUCCAAGUCGCAUCACGGCUCGGGCGAGCGCUCUCCGUCGUUGGACAGACUCAGCGGGAUGGGGCCAGGCGGUUACUCGACUUCGAGCAAGCGCCGAGCCGCACCUCUCACGACGUUGGCUGAUCACCAGCAGGCGCGCCAAGCCAUUCCUCAACACUCCAAGGACGGCGACACCGCAGCCUCGGAAAGAUGCAACGAUGAUUGUUCCUCUGAAGGCUCUUCCCCCGUGCUGAGGGCGGCCUCUACCUCUCCCCAAUGUGUGAAGCGCCGAGGGGCCUCUCCGUCGGCACUCUCGCAUGCUUCAAACGAGUCCGCCCCCGCAGUUGCAGGCGCUAGUCUUGGUGCCGCGAGCUUGUCUGCGCCGACACAGAGCACCAUCUCCAUCAUGACGGCCGAGCAGCUGUACAUAUUCGGAAAACCGUUCCAGGCCUACAUGAGUGCCACCUCUACGCGACCCUCAUCGACCGACACACAGGGGACGCUUGCAGCCACCAGCGCCAGUGGUGCCCCCGCUGCCAAGGCCGCCGCUGCCUCUGGCACGCACAUCGCAGCAACUUUCCACCACAACCCUUCACAAUACAUUUCCGCCCUCACCAGCCAAGGCGACUUUGUCGCGGUGGGUGACCGCACCGGGCGUGUCGUAGUGAUGCGCCAGCGCGAGAUGGCGGCUGGACCACGCCGCACUCUCCUCGACAUCAUUCAACGCAGUGGGGAGGCCGAAGAGGAGGGGGCUGCUAAGCGUCACUCGUUAGCCACCUCCGCAGCCUCAUCGUUGUUCUCCCCACCUCGCCACACGACGGCCCUCAAUCACGUGCGUGACCCGUACGACUUCUACGUCGCUCAGCAGGCCUACGUUCCCGUGAUCGAUACACUGAACAGCGUCGAGGUGUCGCCGACGGUGACGGCGCUGGCGUUCCUGCCGCAGUCCGGCCCCACAACGUACCUCCUUGCGGCGAACGAGAAGGUACCGAAGCUGUACAAGAUCAUGUCUGUGCGGGAAUCAGUCAAUCCCUUCCGUGCGGUAGACAAGAUCGGCACCAAGACCAUUGGCCCACUGACCGCGAGCUCACGCACGUCUACAGUGGCCAUGAAGCCGGUUUAUCGCUACGCCAUGCACCACGAGUACAACAUCAACUCCAUCUGCCCCAUCGCGUACAGCGAUCAGUUCGCGACCGCCGACGACGCGACGGUGCUUCUGUGGUGCACCGAGUACCCUGACACGUCCAUCGAGACCCAGGACCUGCGCUCCCCCUACGAGGACGGCCCACGCGAGACUAUUCGCGCCGUCCGCAACUUCCCGCACGAGCCGUUUCUCUUCUUCGUCGCCACCUCCGGUGGCAGCGUGCGUGUUGUCGACACGCGGCAGACGCUUCGAUGGGGCGAUCAGGCGGCGCAGGCAUUCAUAAACCCGCCGCGCGAAGAGGACGAGCCGUUCAGCAACGUUACAAAUAGCAUCUGCGACUGCGCCCUCAGUCCCUCUGGGCGGUACAUCGCCGGUCGCGACUUCAUGUCCGUCUGCUUGUGGGAUAUCCGCAUGGCUGGCAGCGGUGGCGCGCGCAACGCGCCAGCAACACCGCGUCGGCAGGCCCCAGCCGCGCGCGGCGGCGAUGGAAGCCCCGAGUGCAGCAUGGUGCGGCGCUGGGCUCUGCACCCGCACCUGCGCGACGACCUCGACACCAUCUAUCAGUCGAACCUUCUCUUUGACAAGUUCGAUGUGCAAUUCUUGUCGAGCCGACAGGUGUGUACCGGGGGCUUCAACAACACCCUUUACACAAUGGACGUGGAGGGCACCAGCGCCGACACCGCCAGCGACAUUCGUACCUUUCAGCUACUGAAGACGGAGGGCAUCUCCGAAUUUCGGCGCACCACCGUGUCGGCGCACCGACCUGGCGAGGACCGCAUCAGCACCGGGCAGGGCCUCGGAUCACGCAUGACGCUCAUGUCGCGGCCAUGCAUGUCCAUGAGUGGGGCGUGCGGGAUGAUGGUGGCGUGUGGACAGGCGGUCCUGCAGCUCAGCUACAACGGGCUAUCGAAGUGAGAGCGGAGGGAGGGAAAACGAGAUGCGUACAUGCGUGGUUUGCAUACAUGCGCGUGCCGGUCUCUGUUUCUCUCUCUCGGUUUGCUUUCGCUUGCAUUGGCGUGAGUUGUGUGUUCCCUCACCAUCUCCUGACCUUUUAGAUGCAUUGCGGUCGCAGACGCGCGCACUCACUCAUACGUAAAUAUAUGCGCACUCGUGCGGUGCAACGUAGCCGUUUGAGGUCUCG